GGGCUAUAGCCAAGCGGUAAGGCAACGGACUUUGACUCCGUCACUCGUUGGUUCGAAUCCUCUAUGGCUCAC
rnacentral:tRNA from 1 species